UCCCUACGGGGCGCAGCAGUGAGGAAUAUUGGUCAAUGGCCGGGAGGCUGAACCAGCCAAGUCGCGUGAGGGAGGACGGCCCUACGGGUUGUAAACCUCUUUUGUCAGGGAGCAAGGUGCAGGUCGUGACCUGUUGUGAGAGUACCUGAAGAAAAAGCAUCGGCUAACUCCGUGCCAGCAGCCGCGGUAAUACGGAGGAUGCGAGCGUUAUCCGGAUUCAUUGGGUUUCAAGGGUGCGCAGGCGGGCCUUUAAGCCGGCGGUGACAUCGCGGGGCUCAACCCCGCCCAGCCGUCGGAACUGGGGG
rnacentral:rRNA from 1 species